UCGCAAAAUCGUUCGAGAACAGUUCUCGUUUCAACUACUGGAUCCGUUGCUCGAUAUGUAUGGCGCCUCUUUCUUCGUUCCUAAUAUAUGUAUGCACGUGUGUAUGUACGUUCCUGAAUCGAGCAAUGCAAAUUUAAACACAUUGAAACGUAUGGAAAAACAACGUCGAGAACGCGAGUUUAAUUGAGAUUAACGAACGCACCUGGUGGCGAACCGAUUCAAGACUAAUUUGAGGAGAACAAAACGAUUAUACCGAUAUAAACGAUAACACAAAGUAUAGGUCGAGUACGUGUCUUAAUAUUUACAUUCGAGAAUACAAAUAUCAAACAUGAUUGAUUCCAUUUUCUGUUAAAGGGGUAAUUUACCUGAGCGGUAAACAGGUAUAAAUGACGUAUCGUGUUUGUUGAUUGUUAAACAAAUCGUUAAAAAAAAGAAAACAUCCAUUGAUAUGACUUUUUUUAAAAUUUGAGCGUGCUCGGUGAAAUUGAAUAAAUAUGGAAUGUGUUUUAAAUGUGUUGUUAUGCAUUGCGUACCAAAGAUGUAACAAAAGUCGAGUUAAUCGGUAUUUUUAAAUAAUCAGUUAAUUCUUAUGAUAUCGUGAAAUAAAUAAUAAUCAUCAUUUAAUCGCUGAUAUUCGACACCUUUCGUUUAAUCUGAAUACUACAAUGUAAACAAUCUUUAUAGCAACUUUAUUACUGGUUAUAAAACGUACGGAUUUCUCCCUACCAUGAUUGAUGAGCAUUGUAAACGUACAUAUUAUGCACCGUUUAAUUAGCAGUGAUUUUCUUUCAACUUGCCAUUUUGUCUUUUUCUCUCUUUCUUUUUUCUUUUUUUUUCUAUUUGACAACGACAUCGAUCACGUUUCUUGAAAUUUAUCUUAUUAGUGCGAUUUAUCUAUGUUAUCGCAGUAUUCUUGCAAAUGCGAAAGAUAGAGAUUUCCGGUGGAUUUUAAUAAUUUUAUUGAUUUGAUGCAUUACGCGUGUUAAAUUUCAACGCGAAUUCAAUGAAAACGAACUUAAAAGAUUAUAUACUAAAUUGAGAAAAAAAUAACGACUCAUUAGCUUAGAAACAUGGAUGGACAAUAAAAAUGUACGUGCUCGUUGGAAUUCUAACGAAAUAUUUAAUUCUAAUUUAUACGGAUUGUUACCUGUUGUUCUUUUCAAGGAAAAAAUACGUAAAAAAUUUAUUUUCCUAGUGGGAUUUUUCACAAGGAUAAAUAUUUAAGAUUCCAUCUUAAUAUGGAUACUUGCAAUUUAGAAUUUUAAUUGGCACGUAUUAGAACGAUAUCAUCGGAAAGUAUAAAAUUUUCAUAAAAUUUGAUCUUGAGUAUGAUACUUACCAUCGACCUUCAAUCGACUGUAGGUCGAGAGUCUUGUUUGUUGCGAGUAACAUUUGUCAUUGAUAAUAGAGAUUAUUAUUCCAAUAAAAAUCUCAUGUUAAGUGCCAUGAAAAUAUAUAUAGUAUUUUAAUAUAAA